rnacentral:rRNA from 1 species
CCUACGGCGGAGCUGCAGUGGGGAAUAUUGGACAAUGGGCGAAAGCCUGAUCCAGCCAUGCCGCGUGUGUGAAGAAGGCCUUCGGGUUGUAAAGCACUUUCAGUGGGGAAGAAAGCCUUGGGGCUAAUACCCUCGAGGAAGGACAUCACCCACAGAAGAAGCACCGGCUAACUCCGUGCCAGCAGCCGCGGUAAUACGGAGGGUGCGAGCGUUAAUCGGAAUUACUGGGCGUAAAGCGCGCGUAGGCGGUCUGAUAAGCCGGUUGUGAAAGCCCCGGGCUCAACCUGGGAACGGCAUCCGGAACUGUCAGGCUAGAGUGCAGGAGAGGAAGGUAGAAUUCCCGGUGUAGCGGUGAAAUGCGUAGAGAUCGGGAGGAAUACCAGUGGCGAAGGCGGCCUUCUGGACUGACACUGACGCUGAGGUGCGAAAGCGUGGGUAGCAAACAGGAUUAGAUACCCUAGUAGUC